rnacentral:lncRNA from 1 species
UUGAAAACACCAACACUUUUCAUUCCUGGGAUUGUCCACAGUUUGCCAACAAAUUCACCGAGGCAAUUGCAGUCUCCUCCCCUGCACAGUUCAUGUUCCCCAUGGUGAAUCUGAACCUGAACGUGAACCUCUUCUUCAUGUGAUGGAGACGGUGGAGCAGCCCGAGGUGUCGGCGGAGGCGAUGGCGGUGCUGCUUUUGCCUUAUGGUUCUUGCUUGCGCAAGACUUGGCCAUCCUUAUUUUGCUUGAGAACUUUUUUG